rfam:Pteropus alecto contig21541, whole genome shotgun sequence.
GGCUCCAUAGUGUAGGGGUUAGCACGUCUGCUUCACACACAGAAGGUCCUGGGUUCGUACCCCAGGUGGAGCCA